UACGGAGGGUGCUAGCGUUGUUCGGAAUCACUGGGCGUAAAGGGCGUGUAGGCGGUCUGUUAAGUCUGAUGUGAAAUCCCCUCGCUCAACGAGGGAACUGCGUCGGAUACUGGCAGACUUGAGUACCGGAGAGGAAGGUGGAAUUCCCGGUGUAGCGGUGAAAUGCGUAGAUAUCAGGAGGAACACCGGUGGCGAAGGCGCACAUCUGGCCCGAUACUGACGCUGAGGCGCGAAAGCUAGGGGAGCAAACGGG
rnacentral:rRNA from 1 species